CUCAUGGAAGAGGAAAAGAAAGAAAUCGACUUUGAAAUUGGAAUGAAGCAAAACCAAGAGCUAAAGCUUGAAGAAGAACCACAGCAGCAACAAAAACAAGUAGGAGACGAACAUGUUUUGCGAUUUCUGGAUUCUGUAGACAACUAUUUGACUCUUUUCGAUUCUUUAUCCUGUACACUUCGCCAGGGAUGGCUGGAAUUGGUUAGUGCUCGACAUUCCAUGGGGGCUUCACGCGUCAAUAGCUCGUUAUUGGACCUUAAAGUCCACUCUGCUUCUACCUCACUGCAAGUAACGCCAGAUAUUGUUGAUUCCAUGGAAGAGCAACCACACUUUAUCUUGCGUAAAUGGGGAUCCUUGUAUGAUGGUAAAUGCAGUUAUGAGGAUCAAAAUUCCAAAGUGGAUGGAUUGCAAGGGAAAUCUGGCAGUCCACUGCCACGGCAUCGGGGAAAACCCCAGCUUUCUGAGGAAAUCUCUCCAAAGCAAGCUCCUCUGAUGGUUGAUGACCAAGUUCAAAAGAAGCGAUCAAAAUCACUAUCUGUGUUUGGUACUUUGGUUUCCCCGCAGCUUCGAGCUGCCCAACUAUCAUUUGAGACAGCUCUGGAGACACUCGUAGAAAUAGCAAACAUGCGCUCCACAAUGCUUUCUACUUUCAAUGGAGUCCACAAGGAAUUAGGAGUCGCCAAAGAGAUCAGAUAGAGUCUGUUCAUUCAGGCAUAUUUAACUCAAUCUUCUAAUAAGUUACUGGUCUCGCGGUUUGUUCUGAAAUGUUUAAUGAUGCUCUCACAGUUUGCUGUCUUGUCCAAAGUUACUGUAAUCAAGUGGUGGAUUAUGGUAUCUGUAUGUUAUUCUAAACAGAGCAGAAGUCCUUCGGCAUCAAGUAGCUUCUCUUUGUUGGAAUACGAUACAGUUUCAUGGAAGUU
rnacentral:misc_RNA from 1 species